rnacentral:lncRNA from 1 species
GGAGAGGCGUGGCACCAGCGGCCGUUGAAAAAUGGCGACUGUUACUGAGCUGAAAGCUGUUUUAAAGGACACCUUGGAAAAAAGGGGAGUGUUAAGACAUUUAAAAGCAAGGAUCCGUGCUGAAGUUUUCAAUGCUCUGGAUGAUGAUCGUGAACCCCGACCAUUGUUGUCUCAUGAGAACCUUCUAAUUAAUGAAUUAAUUAGGGAGUAUUUGGAAUUCAACAAAUAUAAAUACACAGCCUCUGUCCUCAUAGCAGAAUCUGGUCAACCUGUAGUUCCAUUGGACAGACAGUUUCUCAUCCGUGAACUAAAUGCCUUUGAAGAAUCAAAGGAUAACUCAAUAUGACCACCUGAAGAAGGACACAGGGCCAAGAACCAUGACUGAAGAGCUUCAUGCUGCUGCACAGGCAGUCAUUAGAUGAUGUGUACACCAGGCUCUUCACCUCGGCUGUGUGUGGAGUAACUAACUUAUUCCCAGUGCCAUCAAUUAGACCACCACUGUCUGUAAAUGUUUGAAUGUCUACAAACAUUCAGCCACUCGUGGUUUACUGCAUCUGUAGAAUACUGAUCUGUCAUCUAGUUUGCUGGAUGCCACUGGGGGAAAUUUAUUGUUUUCAGGAUGUAUUUUUAAAGUUCUCAUUUGUGAAAUCUGAAAGGUCUUUUUAGUACUUUGCAUAGUUUGUUUUUUUUAAGGCCAGCUCUAAGUGCUGUUGACGUGCCACUGGUAAAGCACUCACCUCCCAUGUGCAAGGGCCUGGGUUCAGUCCUAGCACCGGAAAAAGAAAACACAAGAACAGCUCUUUGUCCAUAUGCUCUAAUCAUUAAACUUUUUCUAGCUAGAAUUAUAUGGACCUAUAGGGAAAGUCAUUCAUGUUUU